CCCCUUUUAAAAGCACUCAGUGGGCCUUUUGCUAAUGACCCAUGGAGCCAUCAAGAAAGGGCAGAUUAACAGCACCACUUUUGGGUGAAGUGGCCGCAUUUUGUUUUGUUUUACUUCAAUCAGUGGUGUAACAAGA
ensembl:snoRNA